rnacentral:rRNA from 1 species
GAGCACGCGCGUGUGGCAUAUCAAUAAGCGGAGGAAAAGAAACUAACAAGGAUUCCCUUAGUAACGGCGAGUGAAGCGGGAAGAGCUCAAAUUUGAAAUCUUCAAGGUUCUACCUUGACGAAUUGUAGUUUAUAGAAGCGUUUUCUGUUAGUGGAGUGGCAAAAGUUCUUUGGAAUAGGACAUCAUAGAGGGUGAGAAUCCCGUAUUUGGUCAUUCCUCCUAGCGUUGUGAUACACUUUCAACGAGUCGGAUUGUUUGGGAAUGCAGUCCAAAAUGGGUGGUAAAUUUCAUCUAAAGCUAAAUAUUGGCGAGAGACCGAUAGCGAACAAGUACCGUGAGGGAAAGAUGAAAAGAACUUUGAAAAGAGAGUUAAACAGUACGUGAAAUUGUCAAAAGGGAAGCGUUUGACACCAGUGUUGUUUUUCCGAAAAUCAAUUACGAAUGUUUUGUUUUUGAGGAGUUAUGACUUCAUCGGCUUGCUCCUUUCUUUAUGAAACUUUCUUAAUGCACUUUUCGGUUAACAAGUCAACAUCAAUUUCUUUUGUUGUAAAAGGGUAUGAGGAAGGUGGCUUUCUUUUCGGAGAAAGUGUUUAUAGCCUUGUGCCUCUGCAAUCGGAGAGAUUGAGGUCUGCAGCGUAGAUCCUUCGGGGUUAGAUACGUUUGUGCUAAGUUAUAGCUUUUCAUAGACAACUUGUUGACUAUGUUUAGUCUUGUAGCUUACUCGCUUACGCUAUUCUACCUACGCUUAGGAUGUUGAUGUGAUACUGCGAGCA